UAGGGAAUCUUCGGCAAUGGGGGCAACCCUGACCGAGCAACGCCGCGUGAGUGAAGAAGGUUUUCGGAUCGUAAAGCUCUGUUGUAAGUCAAGAACGAGUGUGAGAGUGGAAAGUUCACGCUGUGACGGUAGCUUACCAGAAAGGGACGGCUAACUACGUGCCAGCAGCCGCGGUAAUACGUAGGUCCCGAGCGUUGUCCGGAUUUAUUGGGCGUAAAGCGAGCGCAGGCGGUUUGAUAAGUCUGAAGUUAAAGGCUGUGGCUCAACCAUAGUUCGCUUUGGAAACUGUCAAACUUGAGUGCAGAAGGGGAGAGUGGAAUUCCAUGUGUAGCGGUGAAAUGCGUAGAUAUAUGGAGGAACACCGGUGGCGAAAGCGGCUCUCUGGUCUGUAACUGACGCUGAGGCUCGAAAGCGUGGGGAGCAAACAGGAUUAGAUACCCUGGUAGUCCACGCCGUAAACGAUGAGUGCUAGGUGUUAGGCCCUUUCCGGGGCUUAGUGCCGCAGCUAACGCAUUAAGCACUCCGCCUGGGGAGUACGACCGCAAGGUUG
rnacentral:rRNA from 1 species